rnacentral:rRNA from 1 species
AUUGAACGCUGGCGGCAGGCUUAACACAUGCAAGUCGAGCGGGGUGAUGGUGCUUGCACUAUCACUUAGCGGCGGACGGGUGAGUAAUGCUUAGGAAUCUGCCUAUUAGUGGGGGACAACAUCUCGAAAGGGAUGCUAAUACCGCAUACGUCCUACGGGAGAAAGCAGGGGAUCACUUGUGACCUUGCGCUAAUAGAUGAGCCUAAGUCGGAUUAGCUAGUUGGUGGGGUAAAGGCCUACCAAGGCGACGAUCUGUAGCGGGUCUGAGAGGAUGAUCGGCCACACUGGGACUGAGACACGGCCCAGACUCCUACGGGAGGCAGCAGUGGGGAAUAUUGGACAAUGGGGGGAACCCUGAUCCAGCCAUGCCGCGUGUGUGAAGAAGGCCUUAUGGUUGUAAAGCACUUUAAGCGAGGAGGAGGCUCUUUUGGUUAAUACCCAAGAUGAGUGGACGUUACUCGCAGAAUAAGCACCGGCUAACUCUGUGCCAGCCGCCGCUGUAAGAC